CCAUCAAAACCAGCAUGAUAUAGGAAGUGAGAUAGAAAGAAGAACACGAAAAUGUGCAGAAGAGAUCAGCAACAUCAGUUAUGUUCUGUAGCCACAGAACUGAAAAAGAGAGAGGCUGAGGAUGUUUGGACCACAAGAUGGAGACCCAGAAAUUGCUUAAGCCAUCUGCUUAAUGAAAAAUCACUAGAUAUGUGAAGAUGUCACCAUGGACCAUCCCAGGGAUUGCCAAGAGGAGCAUCCUGAUUGCCAGCAAGUCCAAGUGGUCCCAUCAUUAUGGUGCUGAUGUGUGGUGCAAAUCUAAAGCAAUCCCAAGUAUAUUUUCUUCUGCGGCAGAAACCUCUGGUGAGAUGGAUGCUAAUAUUUUAAUUGAGCUUUGAUUUGAGAAGAGAUCUGAGAAUUGGCAAACUGUAGCACCAUACACCUUUGCUGUCAAAAAAUUUCCUCUGCAGGGCACUAAUUGCCAUGUCCAUGCAAGGAGCUUGAGAGACCUGAGGGGAUGGGCUCCCAAGAAACCGAGAGUUUUCUGCUGUGUGAGGUCCAAGUCCUGGCAUGAACUUCCAUGACAAUUUACUUCUCUCUGAAGCUUUUGAAGCCUUCACACAGAAGCUGCCUUUGCCAGGGAAGAAUUCAGAAUUAACAUCCUGCAGGGUGUUAAUCCAAGCAGACCAGACAGACAGAGAAAUGAUUAUCCCUUACUUAUCAAUGGAGAUUUGAGGGAUUAAACCUUGGCUCCAGAGACCCAGGAUGGAUAUGUCCUCUGAGGACAUCAUGUCAGAUUCCUGAAGGCUGCCCAAGCAGGCCACAUCUAACUUUCCUGAGAAGAAGACUGUUUCUCUUCUUGGGCUGGCAUUAUCACGAGAGGGACACAGGAGUGAAACAGAGACACAAAGCCCAACUACCUUGUAGGUGGGUGAACCCUAAAGAGCUCUACAGGAUCAAACUGUGAAUCCUAAACAUGGAAUCCUUAAACAGGAUCAAACUGCCUCUUCAUAAAGUAAUUUUCACAGAAAAUUUUGUUCUUGGAGACACUCUAGGUCUUCUCAUUCAGUACUACAGAUAGGGACAGGUAAGUGUAUGGAUACACACACUUUGAUUACUGCACACUUCCAAGGGUUAUUUUCCCUGGUGACUGCAAAUGCUGCCUUCUCCUUGGCCCAGCUGAAGCACAAUAUAUGAACCUUCUGCCUGAAGGAUGGAGUGUGCCCUGUAUUGCACAAUACCAGGAGUAAAAAUUUAUUAAGAACCUCUUAGGACUUCCCUCUUUUGCUAUCUGCUAUCUUGUCUCUGCUAUUGCCCUGUGAAAUGAGGCUGCCUGGAAAACCAAAAGAAAAAGGAAAAGAGAGGGUCUGGAUCUUCCAGGGUUAUAGAUUUCUUUUUCAGUAAAUAAAUCUGCAGAGACUUGUGGCCUCCAAAAUGGUAGC